AGGAUACUCCCGAACAUUUACAUAAAGUGGCUAAACAUAAUCUCUUACUUCAUUUGAAAAAGCUAGAAAAAGAAGGAAAAAUAUUUAGCAACACAGAUCCUGACAAGAAAUGGAAAGCCAACCUUUAGUUUUAGAUUAACGAAAGCAUUGCUUUGUUUUGUUUUUAGAGAACAGAAUGUUUUCUUACGGGUUAAAUAAAUAACCUGUUAUCUAUAGUAGAUUGAUAAUGUGACUUACAUAUUUUAAAAUGAAUAUGGCAUUAUUUUAAAGUAUUCUAGGGUUACUUUCAGUGUUUUUACACUGUAUGUUCUCUACAAGUGAUUAUAGUAUUUAAUAUUUAUGUAAUCAACAGAUUAGGUAAAACGGUUACUUUAAAAUUAUUAAAAUUUGUAUAAUUAUUUGGAUUACUAUUAUAAUGAUCAAUAAAGCUAUUUCUAGCUGCUUCAGUUAA